GAGGGGUUAGAUCAGCCAAUAGCUGGGGUAGGGGGCAAGCACAUUCAUGCAAGUAGGGUGCAGGUGAAACAGGGUCUGGCUGAGCAAGAGAUGUACAAAGAGAAAGAGAACAGCUAUCUUGAGUGGCCUGAUCAUGCAAUGGCCAAGUGAGGAACUGUUACUUUAAAGAUCAGAUUACAGGGACUUCCCUGGUGGUACAGUGACUGAAACUCCGUGCUCCCAAUGUCGGGGGCCUGGGUUCAAUCCCUAAUCAGGGAACUAGAUCCCACAUGCCAAAACUAAGAGUUUGCAUGCCGCACUGAAGAUCCUGUGUGUCACAACAAAGGUUGAAGAUCCCACAUGCCACAGCCAAAAAAAAAUAUUCCAUUACAAAUCACUGUGACUUCCAUCUUGCUUCCAUUCUCCUUUUUCUUUCCCUGGUUUGUGCUGAUGAAGCCAAUGGCUGUGUUGUGAGCUAUCCUAUGGAAAGGACAGCCAACAGCCUGUGAAGAACUGAAGCUGUCGGUCCAGCAACCUGCAAGGAACUGAAAUCUGCCAACCACCACCUGUGUAAACUUGGAAGUAGCUCCACUCCCAGUGGAGUCUGAAGGUGACUGCAUCCCCCGCCGACACCUUGAUGGCAACCUGUGAAGAGACCCAGAGCCAGGGGACCCUGCCAAGCUGUGACUGCAUUCCUGACACACGGGAAUCUGUGAAGCAACAAAUGAUGUGUUAAGCCACCAACUUUUGGGGUGAUUCAUCAUGCAACAUAGGAGCUGGCAGGUGAGCACAGAGCUGGGUACCCGGGACAGGAGCGAGUUGGAUCCAUCAAAGAGUAAACUCAUCUAUCCGCCCAUCUUUCCUAGGACCAUCUU
ensembl:lncRNA